rnacentral:rRNA from 1 species
AUACAGAGGGUGCGAGCGUUAAUCGGAAUUACAGGGCGUAAAGCGCGCGUAGGCGGCUUGGUCAGUCGGAUGUGAAAGCCCCGGGCUCAACCUGGGAAUGGCAUUCGAUACUGCCAGGCUAGAGUAUGGGAGAGGGAAGUGGAAUUUCCGGUGUAGCGGUGAAAUGCGUAGAUAUCGGAAGGAACACCAGUGGUGAAGGCGACUUCCUGGCCCAAUACUGACGCUGAGGUGCGAAAGCGUGGGGAGCGAACAGGAUUAGAAACCCUAGUAGUCC